GACGAACGCUGGCGGCGUGCUUAACACAUGCAAGUCGAGCGGAAAGGCCUCUUCGGGGGUACUCGAGCGGCGAACGGGUGAGUAACACGUGAGCAACCUGCCCUUCACUUUGGGAUAACCAUCGGAAACGGUGGCUAAUACCGGAUACGACGCACCGCCGCCUGGUGUGUGUGUGGAAAGUUUUUCGGUGGGGGAUGGGCUCGCGGCCUAUCAGCUUGUUGGUGGGGUGAUGGCCUACCAAGGCGAUGACGGGUAGCCGGCCUGAGAGGGCGACCGGCCACACUGGGACUGAGACACGGCCCAGACUCCUACGGGAGGCAGCAGUGGGGAAUAUUGCGCAAUGGGCGGAAGCCUGACGCAGCGACGCCGCGUGAGGGAUGACGGCCUUCGGGUUGUAAACCUCUUUCAGCAGGGACGAAGCGAUAGUGACGGUACCUGCAGAAGAAGCACCGGCCAACUACGUGCCAGCCGCCGCCGUAACAC
rnacentral:rRNA from 1 species